rnacentral:rRNA from 1 species
GACGAACGCUGGCGGCGUGCUUAACACAUGCAAGUCGAACGGAAAGGCCCUGCUUUUGUGGGGUGCUCGAGUGGCGAACGGGUGAGUAACGCGUGAGUAACCUGCCCUUGACUUUGGGACAACUUCAGGAAACUGGGGCUAAUACCGGAUAGGAGCUCCUGCUGCAUGGUGGGGGUUGGAAAGUUUCGGCGGUUGGGGAUGGACUCGCGGCUUAUCAGCUUGUUGGUGGGGUAGUGGCUUACCAAGGCUUUGACGGGUAGCCGGCCUGAGAGGGUGACCGGCCACAUUGGGACUGAGAUACGGCCCAGACUCCUACGGGAGGCAGCAGUGGGGAAUAUUGCACAAUGGGCGGAAGCCUGAUGCAGCAACGCCGCGUGCGGGAUGACGGCCUUCGGGUUGUAAACCGCUUUCGCCUGUGACGAAGCGUGAGUGACGGUAAUGGGUAAAGAAGCACCGGCUAACUACGUG